AAUCUGCCUUCAGGACGGAGACAACAGUUGGAAACGACUGCUAAGCCCCGAUGUACCGAAAGGGAAAAUAUUUAUAGCCUGAAGAUGAGCUCGCGUCCGAUUAGCUAGUUGGCGGAGUAAAAGCCCACCAAGGCGACGAUCGGUAGCUGGUCUGAGAGGACGAUCAGCCACACUGGGACUGAGACACGGCCCAGACUCCUACGGGAGGCAGCAGUGGGGAAUUUUCCGCAAUGGGCGAAAGCCUGACGGAGCAAGACCGCGUGGGG
rnacentral:rRNA from 1 species